UUUUGGCAGCAGUCCAAGUGAAUUUAGAAGAUCAGCUACGUCAACCUUGCUUGCCCGGUUCGCUGAACGAAGCCUGAGGACUUGAUUGCUCGGUCCAUCUAAGUCCCUCUCUCUGCUCUCAACUCUUUCGGUGUUUAUAUUUGUAACUUAGCUUUGGAAAUCGACAUGGCUAACAAUGGAGGACGCGAAGAAGGUGAAAUAAGGACAAAGUUGGAAUUGUAUAAAGCUGCGAUAAGUGGUGAUUGGGAGAAGGCUAUGGGCAUCAAACCAAUAACAGCAGUGAUCAAUAAGCGUGGAGAGACAGCUCUCCAUGUUGCAACUGCAGCAAACCACACCCAUUUUGUGGAAAAGCUUGUUGAUAUGAUUGCUGAAGAAAAUGCAGAGUAUUUAGCUAUUACAACUAAACCCCCGAUUGCACCUCAAGCUUCAUGUGAUAAACCCCCAAUUGCACCUCAAGCUUCAUCUCUAAGUGAUGCCAUGGCUUCAGCCGCAACAGCAUUCAAAAUAGCAGCGGACCCAACCAUAGGUCCCAAAGCAACUGCAGCCACAUUGGCACCUGCAACCGGAAACGCAAAUGCAAGUCGACAAGAAAAUACCAAACUCAAAGCCAAAGUAACAAUCGCGGACCCAAUCCAAGAUGCAGCUGCAGCUGCAGCUGCAGCCCCGCAACCACGGGACCGAGUCCCACAAUCA
rnacentral:misc_RNA from 1 species